GGAAGGACGGGGCUGAGUUUUGGACCCUGAACCUCAAAACUGUGAAGCACACAUGGUAACAACUGCUAGAUAAAAUUCAUCAAUAUUAUACCCCAUUUAGGGUGGUGAUGAAUGUUAAAUGAUGAGACAGCCAUUCUAAAAACAUUUACAAGUCAUAAAAUCAGCAAUAAGGCCUUUGUGUGUCUUUGACCCUGCAAUCCAAAAAUAAAAUGUCUUGUAAAUUUGGCACAGUACAGAAAAGAGUGUUGUUGACAACCAAAUUUCAACGAAUAACAAAAUGGACAAGUAUAUAAAAGGAGGGUUUAUAAAAUGGCGAAAAAUCAAUGCGUUGUCUCCGCUCUCACUGUAGCUGCAUCUGCUGAAUGUGCUGAAAUCAUGCCACUUUCAACUGUAAACUGUCAGUCAAAUACCCAGACUGUACACAGCAGUGUGUACUGCACAUGAACUAUGAAAACAAUGGUAUCUUACAUAAAAAAUCUGGAAAAAAGAACUGGUGAAAAACAACUCAAUUCUAUCGCCACAAUUCAGUAUGACUUAGUUCUCAGUCUUUGCCCAUGUUUUCAGCAAUUAUCUUCAAACAUGUAUACUCUCUAUGCUGUCAAUUCUACCGUUUCAGUUUACAAGGACUUUAACAUUCCAAACAAUUCCACCUUUUUUUAUUUUUUUUUUUUUUUUAAAGAAAACAAGUGAUUUGGCCCCAUUGACUCCACCGAUAUAUUGAUUGCAGGUGUAGUUACAGAGAAACCUGUCUUCUCGUCUUUAUUCUGGUGGCGUUUGUCAGUCUUAUUGGAUAUCCAAUGUCAACACUAUUUGUUCUCUGGAGCUCAGCGUGGAUACAGAGAAGCUGAGCUUUCAGACGGCAGCUUUAAAACACUUGAUUACUGAAUCUUGAAUUCCUCUUGACUUGAUAGUUUGUUUGCUUGAGGUUCCAGAGUGUUGUACAGAAAAGCUUUGGGUCACCUCGAAAACAAACGGUUAAUGUUUGACUAUUUAACGUUUUUAUUUUUGGACUGCACAAAUACUUUUUUUUUAAGGUGCGGUGGAUAUCCUUUUUUUAAAGUUAUUUUAAAUAAAGCAUCUGCAAACCUUUUGGCUCUUACAAAUCUUCCAUCAGUACGAUGGCAGCAUUUGGUUGGUGUAGUACAGAGAAACCAACCGUGUUUACAUGGCCAUCCAAUGUAGUGCUCUUAUUGCAGGUAAUCGUUGGCUACAGUAAGUGUACAUGUGCCUUUUUCUAUUUCUUCUCCCCCUUUGCUCCUCUCCACACAAAAAAUGAGAUUCUGUCAAGAGCGGAUGGCUCUUUCUGUAAUGUUUCAUGUUUAGAUUGGACACUUCCCUUGUGCUCUGUAAUAAAUAAGAUACUUGCAACAUG